AUUGAACGCUGGCGGCAGGCCUAGCACAUGCAAGUCGAGCGGACGAAGGGAGCUUGCUCCUGGAUUCAGCGGCGGACGGGUGAGUAAUGCCUAGGAAUCUGCCUGGUAGUGGGGGAUAACGUCCGGAAACGGGCGCUAAUACCGCAUACGUCCUGAGGGAGAAAGUGGGGGAUCUUCGGACCUCACGCUAUCAGAUGAGCCUAGGUCGGAUUAGCUAGUUGGUGGGGUAAAGGCCUACCAAGGCGACGAUCCGUAACUGGUCUGAGAGGAUGAUCAGUCACACUGGAACUGAGACACGGUCCAGACUCCUACGGGAGGCAGCAGUGGGGAAUAUUGGACAAUGGGCGAAAGCCUGAUCCAGCCAUGCCGCGUGUGUGAAGAAGGUCUUCGGAUUGUAAAGCACUUUAAGUUGGGAGGAAGGGCAGUAAGUUAAUACCUUGCUGUUUUGACGUUACCAACAGAAUAAGCACCGGCUAACUUCGUG
rnacentral:rRNA from 1 species